UGGCUGUAAUGGUCAUUUUAUUGGAAAAUUGAGGGUUCUCCCUCUGCCAAGACCGUUUGCCGGGUUUACUCGGCAGUGUCCGCGGUGUCGAGUUCGAACUCUCUGGUGCGCGGUUUCCCGUCGGAGUGAGCAAUCAUCCAGUAUGGGCGUGUGUAAAGUUGGAGGGUAUUUGUGAGGGUGGAAACACCGCAGCAGGCCUCUUCACCAGAGAGUGGCGUCAACACGAUAGCACCUGUGGGCAUUUGGGUACUGGUGGACGGGAGGUUAGGACUCGAGUCACCAAUUUAUU
rnacentral:SRP_RNA from 1 species